CUAGAGUGGCGGAGAGGAAAGCGGAACUCUUGGUGUAACGGUGGAAUGUGUAGAUAUCAAGAGGAACACCGGUGGCGAAGGCGGCUUUCUGGACGCACACUGACGCUCAGGCGCGAAAGCGUGGGUAGCAAACAGGAUUAGAUACCCUGGUAGUCCACGCCAUAAACGAUGGGUACUAGGUGUCGGGGGUAUCGACCCCUCCGGUGCCGCAGUUAACGCACUAAGUACCCCGCCUGGGGAUUAUGGUCGCAAGGCUGAAACUCAAAGGAAUUGACGGGGCCCCGCACAAGCGGUGGAGCAUGUGGUUUAAUUCGACGCAACGCGAAGAACCUUACCUGGGCUUGACAUGCUUGGGACAGCGCUGGAAACAGCGUCUCUCCUUCGGGAGCCCUUGCACAGGUGCUGCAUGGCUGUCGUCAGCUCGUGUCGUGAGAUGUUGGGUUAAGUCCCGCAACGAGCGCAACCCUCGUUACUAGUUGCCAUCAGUUCGGCUGGGCACUCUAGUGAGACUGCCGGUGAUAAACCGGAGGAAGGUGAGGAUGAUGUCAAGUCAUCAUGGCCCUUACGCCCAGGGCUACACACGUGCUACAAUGGUCGGCACAAAGGGUCGCUAAGCCGCGAGGUGGAGCUAAUCCCAAGAAGCCGGCCUCAGUUCGGAUUGGAGUCUGCAACCCGACUCCAUGAAGGCGGAAUCGCUAGUAAUCGCGGAUCAGCAUGCCGCGGUGAAUAUGUUCCCGGGGCUUGUACACACCGCCCGUCAUAUCACCCGAGUCGGGGAUACCCGAAGUCCGUGACCCAACCAUUUGGAGGGAGCGGCCGAAGGUGUGCCUGGUAAGGGGGGUAAAGUCGUAACAAGGUAACCAAGGGCGAAUCGCG
rnacentral:rRNA from 1 species